UGAUACGGGAAUCCUAGUGUGCUGGGUAGU
rnacentral:piRNA from 1 species